UGUCAGAAACAGGCCAAAGAAUCUAAAAACGGAGAGGGAGCGCAUUUCUAGCGCAGAAAAACGGGCCAAUGAGUCUAAAAGCGGUGAGGGUGCGCAUUUCUAGUGCAGAAAAACGGGGCAAAAGAGUCUAAAAGCGGCGAGGGUGCGCAUUUCUAGCGCAGAAAAACGGGGCAAAAGAGUCUAAAAGCGGAGAGAGUGUGCAUUUCUAGCAAAAAGUCUAAAAGUUGCCGUAAUUAAGGAGUUUAAUAUUAAGAGACAUCAUGAAAUUAAACAUCAAUUUGAAAAAUCUUAGUUUACACAACACUGUCAAAGAUAAAGAUAGUAAGUCAAGUAAAAUGGUGUGUAAAUGAAAUAAUCAGGAAAAAGUAUUAUUUAAAGUGGUAUAUUUCAUUAUUUGUUUUAUUACAGAGUGUGGCCCGUGACUUCAAAUAUAUUUCUCCUUCUGGCCCCCAACAAAAAAAGUUUGGACACCCCUGCCCUACACUGAGCUCUACACUGCCCCCAGUGGACCUCGACUCACUGAUACAGUCAGACUCAGUCAGUUGUUCUGAACCUGCAGGCCUAGUGGAACAAGCCGUAAGGAGGAGAGCCAGGCUUUCACGUCUACAAAUUAUAUGAAUGACGUUCAGGCUGACAUUUCUGGAGAAUUUGAUCAUGAAGAAGGGCCCAUCUAAGUAGGAGGAAGGGAAGAUCGGAGUGUUGGAUGCAGAACUGGCAGUCCCUUAUGGAUUCCUGGGCUAUGGAUAUUCU